AUUGUGUGAAUACAUAGCACAUUCGAGGUAGACGCAGAGAACUGAAACAUCUAAGUACCUGCAGGAAGAGAAAGAAAAUUCGAUUCCCUGAGUAGCGGCGAGCGAAACGGGAAAAGCCCAAACCAGCAAGCUUGCUUGUUGGGGUUGUAGGACUCCAAUAUGGUAGUUCUUUCAGAUAGUCGAAUGACUUGGAAAAGUCAGUCAAAGAGGGUAAAAACCCCGUAGACGAAAUGUGGAAGACACCUAGGAGGAUCCUGAGUACGGCGGAACACGAGAAAUUCCGUCGGAAUCCGGGAGGACCAUCUCCCAAGGCUAAAUACUCCCUAGUGACCGAUAGUGAACCAGUACCGUGAGGGAAAGGUGAAAAGCACCCCGGAAGGGGAGUGAAAUAGAACCUGAAACCGUGUGCCUACAACAAGUCAAAGCCCGUUAAUGGGUGAUGGCGUGCCUUUUGUAGAAUGAACCGGCGAGUUACGAUUGCAUGCGAGGUUAAGUUGAAGAGACGGAGCCGCAGCGAAAGCGAGUCUGAAUAGGGCGUUUGAGUAUGUAGUCGUAGACCCGAAACCAUGUGAUCUACCCAUGUCCAGGUUGAAGGUGCGGUAAAACGCACUGGAGGACCGAACCCACGUACGUUGAAAAGUGCGGGGAUGAGGUGUGGGUAGCGGAGAAAUUCCAAACGAACUUGGAGAUAGCUGGUUCUCUCCGAAAUAGCUUUAGGGCUAGCCUCGGAAUUGAGAAUGAUGGAGGUAGAGCACUGUUUGGACUAGGGGCCCAUCUCGGGUUACCGA
rnacentral:rRNA from 1 species